rnacentral:misc_RNA from 1 species
GAUGAAGAACGUAGCGAAAUGCGAUAAGUAAUGUGAAUUGCAGAAUUCAGUGAAUCAUCGAAUCUUUGAACGCACAUUGCGCCCGCCAGUAUUCUGGCGGGCAUGCCUGUUCGAGCGUCAUUUCAACCCUCAGGCCCCCAGUGCCUGGUGUUGGGGAUCGGCCCAGCCUUCCUGUAAGGCCGCCGGCCCCGAAAUCUAGUGGCGGUCUCGCUGUAGUCCUCCUCUGCGUAGUAGCACAACCUCGCAGUUGGAACGCGGCUGUGGCCAUGCCGUUAAACACCCCACUUCUGAAAGUUGACCUCGGAUCAGGUAGGAAUACCCGCUGAACUUAAGCAUAUCAAUAAGCGGAGGA